rnacentral:rRNA from 1 species
GACGAACGCUGGCGGCGUGCUUAACACAUGCAAGUCGAACGGAAAGGCCCUGCUUUUGUGGGGUGCUCGAGUGGCGAACGGGUGAGUAACACGUGAGUAACCUGCCCUUGACUUUGGGAUAACUUCAGGAAACUGGGGCUAAUACCGGAUAGGAGCUCCUGCUGCAUGGUGGGGGUUGGAAAGUUUCGGCGGUUGGGGAUGGACUCGCGGCUUAUCAGCUUGUUGGUGGGGUAGUGGCUUACCAAGGCUUUGACGGGUAGCCGGCCUGAGAGGGUGACCGGCCACAUUGGGACUGGGAUACGGCCCAGACUCCUACGGGAGGCAGCAGUGGGGAAUAUUGCACAAUGGGCGGAAGCCUGAUGCAGCAACGCCGCGUGCGGGAUGACGGCCUUCGGGUUUUAAACCGCUUUCGCCUGUGACGAAGCGGGAGUGACGGUAAUGGGUAAAGAAGCACCGGCUAACUACGUG